rnacentral:rRNA from 1 species
GGCUGAAAUUACGCCUUCCAUGAAGCCGGAAUUGCUAGUAAUGGCAGGUCAGCAUACUGCCGUGAAUACGUUCCCGGGCCUUGUACACACCGCCCGUCACACCAUGAGAGUUGGGAAUACCCGAAGCCUGUGAGCUAACUUUUCAAGAGGCAGCAGUCGAAGGUAGAAUCAAUGAUUGGGGUGAAGUCGUAACAAGGUACC